CGAAAGGGCGAGGAAUAGAUUCCUACAUACCCAGAGGUCGGGGAUACCUCGGAGAAAUCCGAAUCAAUACCCGAUGGUGGUCGGAGGAGAACCAGAGGCUUGCCGCCUUUGGAGUGGGGAAUCUCCUAUCAGCUAGUUGGUGAGGUAAUGGCUCACCAAGGGAAUGACGGGUAGCGGGUGUGAGAGCACGGCCCGCCGCAUCGAGACUGAGACACUGCUCGGACUCCUACGGGAGGCUGCAGUAACGAAUCUUCCGCAAUGCGCGAAAGCGUGACGGGGCAAUGCCGCGUGUGGGAUGAAGCCCUUCGGGGUGUAAACCACUGUCAGGGUCCGCAACAANAUGAGGAGACCCAAAGGAAGAGCCGGCUAACUCUGUGCCAGCAGCCGCGGUAAUACAGAGGGGCUCGAGCGUUAAUCGGAAUCACUGGGCUUAAAGCGUGCGUAGGCGGACUUGAAGGCACCUUGUGAAAUCCCUCAGCUCAACUGAGGAACUGCUUGGGUGAACCACGAGUCUUGAGGUCGGUAGAGGCGGUCGGAACGAUAGGUGGAGCGGUGAAAUGCGUAGAUAUCUAUCGGAACGCCAAUGGUGCAGACAGGCCGCUGGGCCGCACCUGACGCUAGGCACGAAAGCGUGGGGAUCAAACGGGAUUAGAUACCCCGGUAGUCCACGCCGUAAACGAUGCGCACUUGGUCCGAGGGAGUUGAACGCUUUCUCGGUCGUAGAAAAAUUGAUUAGUGCGCCGCCUGGGGAGUACGGUCGCAAGAUUAAAACUCAAAGGAAUUGACGGGGGCUCACACAAGCGGUGGAGCAUGUGGCUUAAUUCGAAGCAACGCGAAGAACCUUAUCCUAGGCUUGACAUGCACGGAUUAGUUCCUGGAAACAGGAGUGACACUCGCAAGAGUGGAACGUGCACAGGUGCUGCAUGGCUGUCGUCAGCUCGUGCUGUGAAGUGUCGGGUUAAGUCCCUCAACGAGCGCAACCCUGUCACUAGUUGCAAACAGGUAAAGCUGUGGACUCUAGUGAGACUGG
rnacentral:rRNA from 1 species